AACGAACGCUGGCGGCAUGCCUAACACAUGCAAGUCGAACGAAACCUUCGGGCUUAGUUGCGCACGGGGGGGUGACACGGGGGGAGCUGCCCUUAAGUUAGCAAUAACUCCCUGAAAGGGGUCCUAAUACCGGAUAAUGUCAUACCACCAACGAUGUAUCGCCUUUGGAUGGGCGCGCGUUGGAUUAGCUGGUUGGUAGGGUAAAAGCCUACCAAGGCGUCGUUCCAUAGCUGGUCUGAGAGGAUGAGCAGCCACGCUGGAACGAAGAAGCGGCCCAGACUCCUACGCGAGGCAGCAGUGGGGAAUAUUGGACAGUGGGCGAAAGCCUGAACCAGCAAUGCCGCGUGAGUGAUGAAGGCCUUAGGGUUGGAAAGCUCUUUUACCCGGGAUGAUAAUGACAGUACCGGGAGAAUAAGCUCCGGCUAACUCCGUG
rnacentral:rRNA from 1 species